rnacentral:rRNA from 1 species
GACGAACGCUGGCGGCGUGCCUAAUACAUGCAAGUCGAGCGGAUGGAUUAAGAGCUUGCUCUUAUGAAGUUAGCGGCGGACGGGUGAGUAACACGUGGGUAACCUGCCCAUAAGACUGGGAUAACUCCGGGAAACCGGGGCUAAUACCGGAUAACAUUUUGAACCGCAUGGUUCGAAAUUGAAAGGCGGCUUCGGCUGUCACUUAUGGAUGGACCCGCGUCGCAUUAGCUAGUUGGUGAGGUAACGGCUCACCAAGGCAACGAUGCGUAGCCGACCUGAGAGGGUGAUCGGCCACACUGGGACUGAGACACGGCCCAGACUCCUACGGGAGGCAGCAGUAGGGAAUCUUCCGCAAUGGACGAAAGUCUGACGGAGCAACGCCGCGUGAGUGAUGAAGGCUUCCGGGUCGUAAAACUCUGUUGUUAGGGAAGAACAAGUGCUAGUUGAAUAAGCUGACACCUUGACGGUACCUAACCAGAAAGCCACGGCUAACUACGUGCCAGCCGCCGCGGUAA